UGGUCAGCCCCCUGGGACUGUACCCGCUGGUGAGGGCACAGCCUGUGUUGGGGCUGCUCCUGGAACCCGGCUCGUCCCCACUUCUGGAGCAGCUCCACUCCUGCUGCUCCCCAAAAUCAAGUUAGUACCAUGAUGAUCAUUUAAAACAUCAAGAGCUAAUACAGUUGGUACUUGGUUUUUAAGCUUGAGAACACACAGUGGACGGUUUUAUUCCUGUGCACUAUUUCUAAAGUCUUAAACUUGAUUAUGCAUUUUUAUUCAAAUGUUCUGCUCUUUCAAAGGACUAAACAGUGCGAAUCUGCCCAGGGUAUUUGGAAGCAGUAUAAAAAUACGAGUAAUAUUGGCAACCCGGUGCUGUUAUUUUUGCAGUUUAUUUUAAUUAGUAACCAAACUUAAAUAUAAUUUUUCAACUCUGUAUUUUUUUAUUCCAAAUCUUUAAUGUCUUCCAGAUCCACUCCAGGUUCACUGGACUGGGUGGUAACUAAGUCUUAAUUUUGAUCCAGAGGAAACUGCCAUGCCCAUUUUGAGCAUUCCUUACUUGCUUACUUUUGCUCUUUUAUUUUUAGCUGUAUUUUGUAUUGCAUUUCUCUCUCUUUGUGUAUUUUAAAAUUGUUUUAGACUUCUCAUUUUUAUAUGGCAUUGAUUCUUGGCACUGAGGUUGAAGUCUGGAAUUGAGAAAACUAUGAAAUUACUGCAUCAGCACAACCACUUGAAAGUCUCUGUUAUGUACUCGGCCCUGUGUUUGCCAAACCUCUGCUCAACCACUGUGCAGGAUCCGACAUAAUAUAUUCCUCAGCCGGGGAAGAGAGAGGAAGAGAGAGGGGAGAGAGUACCAAUCACUCAUCAUUUACCUGUAUGUCCUGCACCGAAGGAUCCUUCUGCAAGAAAUCUGUUUUACCAAGUGGAAGUGCAGCAGUACUGAUUGCUGCUGCUUUGUUCAGAUGUGGAUUUCCCUCGAAAACACCCAAGAAAGAAGCUGGUGAGACAGAGGGGACUGCCUGGGAGUGUCCAGAGCCAGCCAGCACUGCUUUAAUAUGUGGCCGAAUGGAAAAACGGGCCUCAGGUGAGCCCUGGGAGACAUCAGCAGCCUGCGUGCGGUGAGGAGCACCGGUGGGUGCCUGGAUCCCAGGCAUGGAGGGGGGAAGCCAAGGCAGCAGAUGAGAACAGAGAAGAAGGAAGGAGCAUUUGCAGAAGCAAAUAGACAAGGAGCACUGCUCACUGCUUCCCUCUUCAACCGUGAUACUCUUCCUUAUCAUGGCUCGUCCCUCGCCCAGAAAAAUUCAGUAGGGCCAAAUGUCUUCAGGGAAGAGGGUGGCUACUCUCAUGCUUACUUUAUGUGAGGAUCAUUUAUCAAAACACCUGUCCCUUUGGACGAGAGGCAUCCUGAGGAAACAGUUUCCCAGCAACACAGAGCACCAGGUGGACCCUGAAAAACUCUGGUGACAAGACAGACUGCCCGAGGCUGAGGGUGGUACAGCUGAGGAGUGGCCAAUGGUGCAGUGAACUUGAGCCUAAGCAAGCAAUGGUGACUAUGUUGACUGCAGUCCAGAGGCACUCAAAGACUCAAAGAGGAGACAGACGUCCAGUUUAUGGGAGCAUCAUGCAAACAUAAGUGAAGAGGGGACAAGAGCCCAGCCUGUGACUGGGUUCAAAGACCAGGGUGGAGGGCAGAGUACACACGGGUUGUGGAUGAAAUACAGCCAUGGAGAUAAAGUGGUAGUAGAAACCUACAACAGGAGCAAGAACCCCUCUGCACCCAGCAGCAGCACAUGGUAGAGUGCUACCUGAAACGUCUCGUCAAAAUCUUGUGUAUUGCCAGGCACUGGCUGGCAAAGAUGAGAGGCUGAGGGCCCCUUGCGACCAGGAACACAGUCCAUGUCCCCAUGAAGACAGUCUUGGGUACAACCAUAGCUGCCCUGAGGGCUGCAUAGCAUCUGCCCCAGCAGAAGAUCUGUGCGAGUGUCAGUACCUAAUGAUCUGGGUGGAAAUGGGGCGUUUCAGCCCUUUCUGUUCCCUUCCUGAAUCUACUGCAGGGUGGGCGAUCUUCCAAAAAGAGAAGUAUAACUGAUGAUAUGUCCCUUAGAGGUCCAAGAUGCUGCCAACUCUGCUCCAUCAUCAAACCCAGCUGAGGUGCUGCAGAUGUUUCCUAGAAAGGGCCGAGAGAGCCUCAGUAAGAAGUUUUGCACUUUUACUGCCCUGUCCCGUGAUAUCUGAAAGCAUCGACAGUUCCUCAUCGCUUGGUAUCCUGUGAGGACAGGAGAUGCUCAUUUCACUGAAAGUGAGAACCUAGCAGCCUCAGAUGACCAGGAUGCUUGCCCAGAUCAUGCAGUAAGAUGUUUUCAAUGGCAGGAGCAAAUUGUGGGAAUCUUGACUUCCAAGGCUCGUUUACACUGGGAAUGUUUUCCAAUCAGUUGUGGAAGUACUAUAGAACCUGGUGAAGGCUUCCCUAACUGCUUGCAUUUUAUAGCAUGACUCCAAGCACACAUGGAUGUAACCGGACCUUCUCCCAAGAACUAGCUAAAAUUAAGCAAGAUCUAAUCAGACCAUAAAUAAUUUUACCUGAACCAAUUCUAACUUCUG